AGACCCUUUCGCGUACAUGAUCUCACUGCAUAUGCAAACAUAUCUCUUGAGGCAGAAGAUCUUGCCCCCAAUGUAGAGAUGAGGAAACUAAAAUGUAGAAGGAUUAAGUGGUCCUCGCAAUAUUAUAGAGGCGGAAAAUGAAGAGCAGAAAUCAAACACACCUUCUGGUCUUGUUCUCACCAUACCCCUGACGCUUCAGAAUACUGGAAUACAGAUGCUAUGCCUGAGUACAAGCAGCCAUCUUGUAAACAUAAGGACUAAACAUACUUGCUACAGAGAGCAGAGGAAGAAACGAAAGGGAAUCUGAGUCAUGUGUGGCAUUGUCACGCCACUGGACUGGUGUUGGAUAGCCCAUCUUGCCUUGAGAGAUAAAUAAACCCUCAUGUGUUUACACUA